rnacentral:lncRNA from 1 species
AAAGGCAAUUAGACCAUUGGGACCAUUUCCGACCUGGCGCCGCCAGCCCGGGAAGUGACAAGUACCGCUGGUGACGCCACUCGGCGAACGCAAGUGGAUAAAUAGAAACGUCUGCCACAGUGAAGAUGAAAGGAGACCCGCAGCUAAUGGCUCGGCAGUGAUGCGCCAGGUGUGGGCCUCGCUCGAAUGGGGAGGAGAGUGUGAAAACAGAGAGACACACACACUGGGAAAGGGAGACACCCAGACACAGAGGAUGCAAAUGGAAUUCCGCACACAGAAAAGGGAGCGCUUAAGGCGCGCAGCGAGUUCCACAGGGGCAACAGGACUUGAUGGCCUGAUUUGAAUUUGGUUUGGCUCUUCGUAGAAGAAAACAUCUUUUGGUUUGGCUUGUCUCCGGGCUAUUUCAGGUUAUUUACAGAGCAGCGGAAGAAGGAAGGAAAAUUCUAAUAGCGCAUGAAGCAAGGUAACCCUUCGAAAGCAAAGAGAGGUGACAGCCGCCUUAGUGGAGUCGCCCCGGUGCAUCUCUCCCCUGCAGCCCCGCCGACCUGCGGUCCUUCUCCUGCUGGGGCGAUCGGCUCGGAUGCCGCCAGUUCUUCGAGGAUUGGAAUUCUCUGAACUUCAAACGCUGUGGGUUUGGCUUCCGCCCGGCUAGGAGGGAUAGAGGGUGGCUGAGAAUCCUAGGGAGCGGAGGGGAGAUAAGUCGCGCCAGUCGUUUUAAAUGGAAUCUAAACCUUUGCUUGGGCCACGGAAUGUGGAUCCCCACGGAAACAGCUUCGCUUCCCAAGAAAAUCUGGCUUGGGAGAGAGGCGCCUGCGGUUGUGGGAGCUGUCUAAGUGACCCUCGGGGGCCCGUAGGGCGUGGUCGGCAGCGGUCCUGAGCUGUCCAGAGCACCUUUGCUCAUGGCGGGCUGAAAGGCAAAGGGUGAAAGCCCAGGGACCUGCUUUCUCCCGUGGAGAAGGGGUGAAGGCGUCGACUAGAGAAAGAAAAAGAAAUGAACUUUUCUUUCGUCAAAUGUAAGAACAAAGAGAGCAUCCUUCUAAAUAGUAAGAGUCUCCCAACUGUCGUGGAUACUGUCCUCUGGUCCUCUGCGACCUUUCAGGUUGUGACAGGGAUAUUUCCGCAAAGUUUCUGUGACCCUGGGUCUUCUCAGCUAGAGGGGUUGGCAGUGGGAGUAUCUUAUCAGUCAGCUCCACUUCUCCCAAUACAGCUGUCCAGGCCUCUUUUUGAGCCCAGACUCACUGAGUGGCGUGCCCCUUGGGAGAACAUCCCCCGCCUGCGAGAAAAGGUUUACUGAAAACCAAACUCCAGAGGUUCAGGCUUCCAGCAGCCCAGAGAUCAAAUAAUCUGGACCAAUUCCCUUCCCCUGGAGGCAGUGUUCAGCUGCAGUGGGCAACACAGAACAGUUCUCCUCUUCAGAAGGUUGAGCUGGAAUCUUUGCAAACGCAGUUAGGAGAAGUGCUCAGCCUCUGGGCCUCCUGAUGUAAAGGGCACAGGUAUCUGAGGGAAGAAAUGGGGUGCUUCAUGGCCCCUAAUGCCUGAUACUUCUCAGAACCCCAAAGGUAUCCAGUCCUGCCUAUUCUCCCUCUGAACCUGUCUGCUUAGUCUACUGAAAACCAGCGUCUAGUGGCUUCCUGCCCCUGUUCUGCCUCUGCUGUCUAGAAGCCCAUCACCCCCACCCCCACCCCCUGCUCACUGUGAAUACUGACAGUGGGGAACAGACCCACCAUAGGACUGACACCCCAGGCUCUUCUCACCCAAGGCUAACUGUCCCUUUGGACAAGGCCUGGAUGGAUCCAGUGUAGUUUGUUCCCUCCCAUUCAAGGGAGUUCUUCAAUGUCUGUAUGGUACAAACCAUAACUAGCUCUCUCCCGCCUUGCCCUAACAGAAGUAUCACAGCCUCUUUCAUCAUUACCAUUCUGAUACUUGCUAUUAUUACAAGGCUAGUUGACAUCCACGUCUCUUUUAGCUACAUAAGAGUUCUUAAUGGGUUUUAAUAGUCUGCAAGGCUUUUCUCCCUCAGUUGUAGGGUGACCAGUAGUCCUAACAAGUGGCCAUGGCAAGGCUGAGUGUCAGACCUAGGAUCCUCCUCCUGAGUCAUCUUCCUUCCUGUCCUUGGGGGAAUCUCUUCUGCUAUCAUGUUGAGAUAACACCCCACAGCCUUUCUGGAAUCUAGAUAGGUCUGUGCCCUCAGCAGGUCCUCCCUACCCUCAAGAGCACACUCCUAUGGAGAAAAGGCCCCUGGCCACAUUGAUGCCACCACUUCCCAACAUAGAUCUUUUCCCAGGAGGACAAAGAGUCCUGUGGUAAGAGCAGCCACUGUGUAAGAGCAGCACCAUUUUAUGCAUUUGUGUUUUCCAAUGUCUGCAGGCUUGGGUUGGGGGUGGGGGUAUGAAUUAUCCCUGGCUUGCAGCUGAGAAGACUAAAUGGGGAAAAAUACAUGCACGAGUAAGAGGAUCCUGCCCAUCCUACCCCCGCCCUCCCCUGCCAUGAAGACAACUCUCAGAGCAGCUCUUGGAAGCUGGGCUGUGUGGUAGAAUGCUUGCCUGGCUACCAUGAGGUACCAGGCUUGGACUAAGAAGCCAGCUUGGGCUUUUCAGCAGGGUCCUUUUGCUCCCACCUCACUCAUAGAAGAGGGGACAAUUCCUGGGACUCUGGGUACUCCCCUUGGACCUGCAGGGGAGGGAGAAAAGGCUGCAAACCACUUGGAAAUACUCCUUCUACAGGAUAGAGGCCAGCAGCUGGGUGAGGACUGUACAAGGGACUGUAGAAGAAAAAAAAGCAAAAACAAAACAAAACAAAAAAAACUCCAACCCAUGUGGUCAUGUGCCAGGCCACUGGUACCUGAAAGUAAAACCUCCGAUCUUCAUUCAGAAUGCCCAAAUGUCAAUAUAAUUACUUUGGACACCUUAAGGCAUCUGCUCAUUCCAUGGC